rnacentral:rRNA from 1 species
GGCUUCUGCCUCCGGGCGGGUCGGCGCCCGCCGGAGGAUAACCAAACU